UUGGAGGGCAAGUCUGGUGCCAGCAGCCGCGGUAACUCCAGCUCCAAUAGCGUAUAUUAAAGUUGUUGCAGUUAAAAAGCUCGUAGUUGAAUUUCGGGGUCAGUAGGCUGGUCGUGCCACAGGUAUGUACUGGUCUCACUGAUUCCUCCUUCCUGAUGAACCGUAAUGCCAUUAAUUUGGUGUUGCGGGGAAUCUGGACUGUUACUUUGAAAAAAUUAGAGUGUUUAAAGCAGGCUAACGCUUGAAUACAUUAGCAUGGAAUAAUGAAAUAGGACGAUCGAUCCUAUUUUGUUGGUUUCUAGGAUUGACGUAAUGAUUAAUAGGGAUAGUUGGGGGCAUUAGUAUUCAAUUGUCAGAGGUGAAAUUCUUGGAUUUAUUGAAGACUAACUACUGCGAAAGCAUUUGCCAAGGAUGUUUUCAUUAAUCAAGAACGAAAGUUAGGGGAUCGAAGACGAUCAGAUACCGUCGUAGUCUUAACCAUAAACUAUGCCGACUAGGGAUCGGAUGAUGUUAAUUUUUUAAUGACUCAUUCGGCGCCUUACGGGAAA
rnacentral:rRNA from 1 species